rnacentral:lncRNA from 1 species
GGAUUAUUUCAGUUAUAAAGAUUAUCAUAAAUAUUAAGUAGCAUUUAUAACUAUCAUAAUUUACAGUAAAAAUUACAACAUUUAUAAUUUUUACUACAUUUAUAUCAUAAAUACAUCUACUACCACCACAUUAGGCGGCAAAAAUGUCAUCUGCAUAAUAUGACAUCUACUAUCACCACAUUAGGCGGCAAAAAUGUCUGUUAUGCUGUACCGCCCCUAGACUUUAUUCAUCAGAAUAUUGGGCCAUAAUUCAUGUUCUUCCAUGUAACAAGAAAUUGGUACUUCCUCAUGAGGGCACAAUAAAUAAAUCUAAAAUAGUUCCCCUUUUAUUGCAAAUAUUGAAUUUGACAAUAAUUUACUGUUAAAAUUUUAAAGAAAAGUCCAAUUUUCCUUUUAUAGACAAGUUAUUUCAAUUUUAAUCUUCCAAAAAUAUCAUAAUACCUCUCACAAGAAAGUGGUUAGUGUCACUAACAACAACAUUUUGCAAUAGAGAUACAAAUUUGUGAUGUACCUCUUGUUAAAAUUGUUAUAGAGCUGGGGAGAAUAAAUUGUUAGUCAAAAAUUUAAGAAACCAUCAAAAGAUAUAGAAACUUGUUCAAGAUCUCAUGAUGAUAUUAGAUCUCAUUAUGCUACUUUCAGAAACAUUAUCCAAUUUCGAAUCUGCAAGUAACAAGUCCUAAACUUCCAAAAGUUCAAUAUAUCCUAUGCUGUAAUGAAGGAUCAAAUUUUAUUAUCAUUCUUGUAUUUGGAAGACACAUUAGAAAAUGUCGAUGUUCUUUCGUUUUACCAUGUACAUUAGUUUAUUAAAAUCACAAUAGUGAUGCAUUUUCAUAACAGAACAUUCUCCAAUCUUUUAAUAACAAUAAGAGAAAGGGGAAAGAAGUAACAUCCUUUCCAUGACAUUUCCGUCAGUCCUUAUAUGUGCUUCUGCAAUGGUGUAGGCAUUGUGUUCAGUAAACUACAAAAGUAUAUUCCCCAACCGUUUCCAAUAUUACACUCCACAAAACAGAUGUAUCAAAUUUCAACCAAAACAGUAAAACAUUUAUUUGAUUUUUAAAAUGUUCAAUAUUAGCACAACUACGUAAGUACUCCUGGCAUACACAUACACGUGUAAACUUUAUAAUCAGACCAAACAACAUUUACCAAAUCAGUUUGGUAUGGAAAUUCACAGAACUAUUGAAAGUGAUACAGAAGUUAACAAGUAGCAUGUGUAAUAGUCAUGGGAUUAUAAAGCCAAAACAAAAAACUGAAAUCAAUUCAAGGCAAGCUAAAAAAACUAAUAUCAAAGUUAUGUAUUAUAAGAGUUCUACAAUGCAACUUUCAACGCUAAUUUUUGUAUCUAAAAGAGAAAACAGAAGUGAAAAUUAAGGACAUUUUAAGCAUCAAUUCAGUAACAAUGAAUACCAUAAUAUACAUUUUGGGUAUUUGUAUGUUUGUUGCUUUACGACUGAGUUUCAGUGCUAAUCUAAGCACAAACUUGUGUAUUUACAGAUGGGUAAUAAAUAAGAAAAGUGAAAAGUAAUGUGUUUUCAAUUAAAUCAAAUCCUGAGGAUGAACCAAAAGAUUAAUCUUAAAACAAAUUUUCAGCCAAAUUCCAAAAGCAUAUGGGUAAGCCUCAGUCAGCCAAAUUUGUCAUCAAAUAUCAGACGGUAAUUCCAAUUAAACUAAAUCAUCAUCGGCUUCGUGGCAAGCAUGACAACAUCAAUAAACAAACGACAUAAAGUUAAACAAACAAUAAAGAUGUAAUCGCACAAAACGGCUCUGCAGAUCAUAAGUAUGAGAUCCACAGAUUCCUAUCAAGAUGCGAAACAACCGAAAUUCACUUUUGCUUUUGGUCCAAUCAUAGCAUCACUGGUCAAUGCCGAAUUGAAGCUACCAGAGACGUGGCAUCGGACCUAAUACUAGAAAAAUAAAUUAAAAUUGAAUAAUAAAAUUAAACAAUAAUAAUUAAUAAAUAAUAAGAAAACCCUCAGAGACCCGUUCCAAAUCACACACACAGAACCACAAAGAACAAGUCCUUUGAUCGGCGCUGCGUUUAGAGUGUCAUACGGCACUUCCUAUCAAUGAAGGGAGAUCCUCCUCACAGGGUAUUUUCGCAUCUCCGUUCUCUAUCAAUCCAACAUUCAUAAAAUUAAUCACAAAAUAAUAACUACGGUGAACAGAAUCAGAAGCUACCAAAUACAUGAAGCAGUAACAGAGAGUGUGUAACUCCGCUGUGAGGCCAACCCUAAACAACCGAACACACUGAGAAAGGGCUUUGGAUAUCACAUUUAUAGACAUGUUAACUGAACUGUUAGGGUUAGAGCCGCCCAUGUUAAUGGCAUUGGGCUUUCAGUUAUGCAAAUGGCCCAAGAAUGUUUUAAUUAUAUAUUUGGAAAACAAAUAUUCUAGGCAAGAAUUAGGGAAAAUUAAUUGUAAAAAAAAAAAUUAAUGAAAUAAUAUAUAUCUCUACUUUAUUUGAAGUAAGAAAUACCAAAAAAUAAGAAAAAAAUAGUAAAUAUAAAUUACAUCUUUCCUAAUAAUAAUUGCAGAGUUUUUUUUUUUUUGUUCUUUCUUCUUCCUUUACACCUCCAUUCUUCAUCACUAUCCUCUUUGAAAGGAAGAAAAAACAAAGACAGAGAGACAUAUUAUAGAAAGUUCAUUGGAAACUAUAUUAUAUAUGUUAUGAAAAGUUUGUUAAAGAAAAAUAUUUUAAAAUUUAUAUUUUGAAACCAUCUCAUAUGUUCCAAAAAAAAUAUUUCAAAAAGUAAAAAAAAUUGUUAUGGAAAUCUUGUUCCAUAAAACUUGUUAUGGAGGAUGCAUCUCAUAAAUUCUAAAAAUCAAAUUCUAGAAAUUAUGUUCCAAAAAUUUUGUUCUAAAGAUUCUGAUAUGGAAAUCAUGAAUAGAUAAUUUAGAAGUCAUAUUUUUUAAGGAUAAAAUGGUCUUUUUAAAAUUAUGGAGAUGUAAAAAAAAAUCUUUAAUUAUAUAUUUGAACAAAUAUUCUUGGCAAGAAAAUGUUUAGGAAAAAAUAAUUAUAAAAAAUUAUUUUUAGAUAAUUGUUUAUCGCAAUACAUAAUGAAAUAUAUCCAUUUUACCUAAAUAUUUUAUCUCUAAUUAUGUUUUAAAAUUAUAAUAUUUUAAACUCAUAAUUAUUGUUUUUACUGCCCAUCCAUUAAAAUAGCUAUACACACAUUUCUACUAUUUUAUAAUAUAAUUACAUUUAUUCUUUUAUUCUCCUAUCCAUAAAUAUGUAACCUAAUUGUUCCUUCAUCGUUAUUUUCAUUUAAAUUAUAAAUUAUACAUAUCAAAUAUGAAAAAUAAUAAUACAUAUAUUUUUAAAAAUACAUAUAAAAUUAAAAUUAAUAUAAAUAUUAAAUUUUAACUUGUUAGAAUAAUAUAACACGAUAAAAAUGUAAAUAAUUAUUAAAAUCUUUUUUAAUUAUGAUCAUUAAUAUUAUUAUCUCAUUGUUGUAUGUUACUAUCAUUAAACACCCAAUCAAAUUCUCCACAAAUUAUAUAUAAGGCUUGAUGGUGUAGAAAAAUUAAGUUGAGAAUGAGGCCAAGAGAUAGAGGAAGUUGUGAUUCCCUAAUCUAUCAAAGAGUUUCUCACUUUAGUGAAAAAAAAUUCUAAGGUUACAAAGUGAUCAGAGUUAACAUAGGUGGUUUCUUAAGUGGCAAUAAGAAAGCUUAAUAAAAGAAACCAUAUAUUUGGAUCUCAUUCAUCUAGAAAGAGUAGAUUGAAGUCUCAUUAGAAAUCCUCCCUUAAGUGCUUUAGAUAUGGUGGCCAACAUAUGAUUAGAGAUUGUUUACAAUUUUCUUCUUUAAUGAUUUACUUCAAAUAUUAUAAGUCAUGUCAUUUGACCAAAAAUUGUAGGUUUAAGAAAGGAUUUAUUUCUUCUAGAAUAGUGUAAUAGAAACCAAAAAGUGGUGAGCAAGGCAAGCAUUUGCUAUCAGUUAAGUUGAGGCUUCAUAAUCUAAAAAACCUAGUACUAGGUAAAUGUUUUAAUCUUAAGUUCAACAUUGAGAGUAUUAUAUGAUUCUAGUUUGUGUGUUGAAAUAUUGCAACUCCCUUUGAGUAAGUUAUUAUGUGAUAUGUUGGUAUCCACACCAAUAUUGAGAAUAGUAGUUAUUUCCUUAAUUUAUCUAAAGUGUUUUAUGCUUAUUGGCAAACUAAACUUAAAGUAAAUAUGAUUUGCAACCUUUAAAGAACUUGGACAUUAUCUUAGGUAUGGAUUGAUUAUAUGUCAAUCCUACUCUAAUAGAUUUGAGUUAUAAGGAUUUGAUAUUUUUUAAUUUUAAGAGAAAAAUAAUAGUUAAACACAAUAAUUUCAUAAGCAAAGGGUGGUGCAUAAUAUUAUAUAUUGUUGGCUUAGAAAAUGGUUAGUAAUAGUGGUCAAAUAAUAAAUAUGUUUGUUGUGUAAGAGUAUAUAAAUGUUUUUUCUAUAUAAGAUUUCAUAGUUUUCACCUUAGAGAAAAAUAAAGUUCUUAUGUAAAUUUCUCUACAUAGGAUGACACCAACUAAGUAGGCAAUUUUGAAGAUUUGUUGGGGAAACAAUUCAUCAAAUUGAAUGUUUCUCCAAAAUAAUAGUUCCUUUGACUCAAUUGACUUACAUGGAUCAACCUUUAUAUGGACAAAGAGGUGUGAAACAAAAGUUUCUAUAACUUAAAAGCAAAGAUUAACUAGUGCAACAAUGUUGAUUGUUCCUUAUCCAAGUAAAUCCUUUGAAAUUAAUAUGAUACAUUUGAUCAGGUUUCGGGAUGUGCGCUAAUGCAAGAAAAGAAAAUAAUUGCAUAUGUUUAUUGUCAUUUAAAGGUACAUGAGAAAAAUUAUUUCAUUCAUGUUUUAUAAUUAUUUAUUGUGUGGUGUGUGCUCUGAAGACUAUGACACAUUAUGUGUAUGGUGUUAUAUUUUAUGAGUUUAUUGAUCAUAAGAGUUUGAAAUAUUUGUUUGAACAAAUGAAGUUAAAUAUGAAAUAAAAGCGAUGAAUGAGAUUUAUGAAAGACUAUGAUUUCCAGUUGAGCUACAAUCUAGGUAAAUUUAACAUGGUUGUUGAUGCAUUGAGUUAAAAGAUAACACAUGUAUCUCUCUUUAUGAUAAAUGAGUUGGAUUUAUCGAAGCUUUAUACACAAAUUUGGGUAUGUGAUAUUUGAUCAUAUUAGUUGCAACAUGCUUGUUGUAACUAAUUGUUUCCAUAAUAUGAUUAAGGACAAAUAACUAAUUAAUCUUGGUCUAAAACAUACUAGAAAUUUGAUAGGUACUUACCAAACUAAAGAUUUUUUUGUGGAUUUAAUGAGAUUUUGAUAUUCAUAGCAAGUGUCUAUUGAUGUUGGAUUCAAGAGGUUGAUCCUUAAUGAAGGUCAAAGAAUAAGUUGUGUCUCCAUCCUAGUAUACAUAAAAUGUAUUAGUAUAUAUAAAGGUUAUCAUUGACAAACAAGUUUUGCUUAUGCAACUCAGCUAAGCCAUUUUUGCCUUUAUUGCAUAUCUGAGUCUUAAAAAAAAUGAUAUUCUCAAUAGUAAGCGUUAAUUUAGAUAUUACGACACCUUGUUAGAUAUAUGUCAUUCUUUUUUACACCCUUCAUCACCUUAUAUGUAAUUAUGUAAAAAAAAAUUAGAUAAGAGGAGAAUCCAUUUUAUAUAUAUAUAUAUAUAUAAAAUUUCAUUCCCUUAAUAACACAUAAAAAGAAAAUAAAACAUAUAAAGUAUAUAUAUAGUGACAUUUCACUCAUCACUUGAAAGAAAAAAGAAAUCAAAAUGUAUUUAAUGAUGUUACUUUUGAAGUUUCAGCUUGUUAUAAACCCUAAUUUGAAUUUUUAUUUAAUAUGAUUUUUUUUUUUAUUUAGUCACGUUUCCAUUUUUCAAAUUCAAGUUCUAUGUAUCCAUGGCACAUAGGUUUUUUUUGUUAACUAGUGACCUUGUUUUUGUUUCUCUUUGAUUCUAUGUAUCCAUGUGACAGUUUUUUUUGUUAUUUUCUAAAAUAUCACUAUACAAUUAGGAAAAAAUGGUUUUGUGGAGGAUAAUUUUAUUUUAUUUUUAGAAGAUCAUGAUUUUGCUAGUAGUCACAAGUGUUGCUAAAUAUUGGAUGAGAAUUUUUUAGAAUUAAUUUAAAGGAACCUACUUUAAUAAUUUUAGUGAUAGUUAUUCUUACAGUUAUAUUAAUUCGACUUUAUGAUAAUUUUAUGAUGUUAAACUCUACAUGGAUAAGUUAAUAAGAAAAUAAGAAUAGUAACGGUUAAGUCCGUUUUUUAAACUAAACGACAUAUUUAAUUGAUGUUAAUUUUUUUAAUAGAAUAAAUUAUUCGUGUAAAUAUAUUAUUGGACUAAUAUAAGAUUGUAAUCACAUUUAUUUUAUUUUUUUGUUUUACUAAUCAUACUACCAUUUUCAAAACAUUUUUGCAAUAGAUUUUUCUUAGAAUGAUUUAGGAUUACUUUCCGACAUUAUAAUUUUGGAAGAGUUUUAAAUAACUAAAGAAAUUAAUUAAAAUACUCCGAUAAUAUCAAAACAUUUUAAGCUAUCAUUCAAUUAUAAAUUAUUAUAUAUGAUCAACACAUUUAUUUUUAUUAAUUGUUUUAAAAUUUUAUAUAUAUUAAUUAAUAAUUGAUUACCAUUAUAAGUUUCUGUAUUAGCAAUAGUCAAAAGAUUUUUUUUUAUAAAAUUAAAAAGUUCAAAAUGUUCUAUAUAUUUGAAAAAAGUUAAAUUUUGAAAAAUGACAUAAAACAGUAAAAAGGUUAAUAGUUCAUAUGUGCCAUAAAUUUUUAUGAUUUCAAUUUAAUUAAAAAUUGAUUGGUUAUACAUUUUAAUUAAAAAAUUAAUGUACAAUUUGAGAAGAGGAAUAUUGGGCUGUGCCGCGAAGCAUGAAGAAGGUGGUGUGGAGAUUCCAACGCCGACGAGAGAUUCAGCAAUCGAAGUGCAGAAGCUAUGGACGCAGAUUCUGAAAAUCGUGAAAAUAGCGAUUCUACCUUUGUUUGGGAUGACAAAUCACAACUUUACUUCCACGCUAGGUUUUCCUUUCGAUCCCAAUUUCGAAACAUUUCUCACCAAUCAAUCAUUAUUCUGUUUGCUCUUAAUCCUUAACACUGCCAUGUUCACAUUUUAAUUAUUCAUUGUACGGAAUUGCUACAAGCUAUGGUUAUUCAUUCUUUCAUUCAGUUUAAUUUGUAGUAAUUAGUACAUUUGGAACGUUAAAAUUUCAUCAUGUUGUUGUGCUUCUUUAUAUCUGCUGAGCCUCUGAACAUAUUGCGUGAAGCCUAAGCUUUCAUUUUGUUCAAAUUAGCGUUUUUUAUUUCCUUCUUUGUUUUAAUACCCUAAAUGAUUGAUGUGGAUAGAAUGAAAACAGAAUGGUCAGCUCCUACGACUCUGUUUGAUAUGAAUAUUAAUGAAAUGAUUACUCUACCUUUCUUCGUUCUUAUGUUCGGUGUGUUAUAAUUGACGAAAAGAAUGUAUGAUGGAGAAUAAUUUAUGAUUUUUGAGAUGAAACUAAAUGGGAUUGGGAAUGAGCUUUUUCUUUUCAAUAUCCUAAUCAAACAUAAGAGUGACUUAUUUGAUGAUUCCACGCCCUCCAACCUCAGACCUUUCGAUUUUUUAUUAGGUUCGCAUCUGAUUGUAUAUACUGAUGUAAAUUAUGAAUAUAAUGAGCUACUUCUGUUUUGUUUUGUUGGUAUAAAUUUGUUGUCGUUAACUUUUUUCUCCCUCUUUAUUCGUUGGGGGAAAUGUAUUUAACUCUGUGCAGUAGUGGAUUUUACCAUGACCCUAAUGCUGGCUGGUACUAUAGCAGCAGAGAUGGUGCUUAUUACAAAUUUGAGGAUGGGAAUUAUGUACUUUUAGAUACCAAUAAGGUAGUUUUGGAGUUGGACUUCUAUGUAAUCAAUUUAACAUUUUAUUUUCCACAGAUAAAUUCUUAAAUCAAUCUCAUUUUAUGUUAGAAAUUUAGUUUUUUUUGCUUGUUAUAUCUUAGGACGAUAGUGCAGACACAUGUCUAUACAAGGAAACUACCACAGAAAGUCCUCAACAAAUAUAUGAUGGUAACACCAACGAGGAUUAUAUUUCCUUUCUUGAAAGUAUAUCUGACACCAACCAACAGACAAUAACCCAGGCUAAUGAAGCACUUGAUGGUAAGUAUAUGAACUUGCAACUGUGUUUCUGUAUUUGCAUUAACUUGUCAACAAUAUUAUAGUAUAAUGAUGAUAGGUCUGCAGUAUGCAGGGACAGGGGGUUGCUACCAAGCACGGCCUUGUCAAAUCCCCAAUAUUUGUACUUAUUUGUAUUAAUGUUAUAGACAAUUGGUUUUCCACUACUCUUCGAACAUUUUGGUGUUUCAGAUAUGCAGCAGUAGUUAAUAUGAGUAACUUAAUUUAUUUAAGUGUCUGCCUUUGAAAUAGAUGCUACAAAUUCUGCGAGUAGUCCGACUUGUGAAAAGCCACCUCCACCACCAUCAGAAUGGUAUCCACCUUGCACAUCCUUACUCCACUGAUGAUUUUUACCUUCAAACUUUUUGUACAUAAAUUAUUCAAUUUGCCUACUAACAGGUUAGAGGACACACUUAUUGAUCUUUACUUGUCUGGCUACAAGAAUAUAGCAGUAAGUGAAGCAGAUGGAGUGACAAUGCCACUGGAAACAGAUGAUAGAUAUGACUCGUUAGCAGCUGAUGGUGUGUACAUAACUUCUAUCAUUUUUUGUUACGUGGUAACUAAUACAGCUCGUGAAUGAAUUUGUUUCCUGAAUGUAUAGCUCACAGCAAAACUUAUGAAGUGGAAGGUGAGUGGAACCCAAACCAAGUGGGUGAAAAUGGCUUAGCUGAUACUAAAAGUAUUGUAGAUGAAGGUGUAGCUUACAACAACUCUUAUGAACUGGAAGAGGGUGAGUGGAUCCCGGACAUGGAGGAUGAAUGUGACAUAGUUGAUAGAAGUACCAUAGAUGAAGGUAUUAAAUAGACUUGACCUAUCUCUUAAAUAGACUUGAUCUAUCUCCUAAAUAGACUUGAUCUAUCUUUACAGAUAUGUUGUUGGAUGAAGAGAAAUGGCGGGCUCAAUAUGGUCAAGUUACUGAAUCAGGGAAAGAUUUGGUUUUAGAGGUUCCAAUUGCGGACUUGUGGGAUUGGGAAAUGGUUACGAGAUCCAAAAGAGAUGAAAAAGAUAAAGUGGCAAGGUUGGUUGGAAGAUUGGUGAAACGGUCUGCAAAACAACAUCCAUCUAUCCCUUCUAGUGGAGGGAAAUUAAGAUCUGCUCCCAUCUGUGAAGCACAUUUUGAUCUGGUACGAGUUAGAACAGGUUUGCAUUUUACUCUAGUACUUGUUAGUACUUAUUACACACCGUGUCAUGAGUAGGGAUGACAACAGCUGCCCGCAGCAACGUAUAGUAGCUAUCUUCUACCCGCUCUGUGUAAAAUAUCCAACCUAUUAUUCGUCAGGUAUCCUGUGGAUUAUUCUACACCAGUCGAUAUCCAUGGAUUCUUUUUUAUUUUUAUUUUUCUUAAAUUUUUUACUAAGAUUAUUAUUAUUUAUUUAAAAUAUAAAUAAAAUUAAUCUCUUUAAAAAUAAUUUUAAUUUUACAGGUCUAAAUAAAAACAUAAAUAUGUAUAAUCAAAUUAUUACCAUUUUUCAAUUCUUAAUGUUUUCCUCUAACAAGUAGUGGAUAUAUGCUGGUUGAAUACUGUGAUACCCAUACCUGUCCCAUUAAUAGGCGGAUAAUUAAAAUACUCAUACCCAUUAUCUGGUAUUUGCUGGUAUCCUUAGAUGUACUCGUUUGAUAUUCAUUAUAGAUGUUACACGUGGAUAUCUACAAGUAUGAAUUUUGUUGUCAUCCAUAAUCAGGAUAUAUAAUUAUUAAAAAAAUUAUAAUGGAGAGAUUUGCUAACAUGUAAUUCAAAAACUUAAAACUUUCUUGCUUGUAUAUCUUUCCUAAACAACCUGUCAUAAAAUUCAUUUUGAAAUGAUGGAUGAGUGAGUAGUUUUAAAAUGAAGCAGUAUUGGAAUUUUCAGUAAAGUGAUAGAGCUAGAAAUACCCCCUUGACUAAAUACGUUUGCUUAUCAUGUUCUUUUAUCAGGACAAGUGUACAGAUUGCGAAAUCCUAGUGCAAAAUAUAUGGCUUCAUUAUCAACUUAUGAUUCUUCGAAUCCAACAAAACAUUGGGAUUUUCCCCAGCUAUCACCUAGUAGAAAAAUCACUCAUCUCUCCAAGUCCAGUGAAAGCUCUGCUUCAGUUUCAGAUGAAAUACCUGUAGAGAAGGAUUUGUCUGCGUUACCGAGUCAUCCCUCUGCAUGUAAGGUGUGUAGUCUGAUGUUGAAAUCAAACAAAUAGCUGCAUUUUAUAAUAGAUAAAUGAAUGCUCAACAUCUUGGGAAAGCAAUUAGGAUGGCAUAAGUAGUAUAUAUAACAAGUGAGGCCAUGGCUUAUAAAUUUUCCUUUCACAUAACUGAGUGGAAAGUGAGUACUUCAGUAAGUGUUGUGGGUUAGGGAAGUUGAAGGGAUCGAAUAGGAAAGAGAGAAUAUGACGACUUAGAGAUAAGGGUUCUAAACUUGUCUUUCACUUCCAUGAUCACCCUUUCUAUAGAACAAUUGAUCACAUGUAAGGAUAUCUCCAGAAUCUCUUAACCUUGAACUCAUUUUUUUGUUUGCUCUGCCAGCAAAUAAAACAUCCAUACAGAGAUAGGGCUGCUGAAAGAAGAAUAUUGCAUGGUGGCUUCGGCAUGGGUCCAGGACAGAAGAAUCUGCCAGAUGUUUAUAAUACGCCAUCUUCACCUGAUGCUGGUUGUCCUCAAGAAGCUGCAUCAGAGGCCUUGGAGAUGUCAUUUGGAGCAGGUAGUUAUGCCAGAAAGCUUCUAAAAAGCAUGGGUUGGAAGGAGGUAUCUUCAUACUUAUCAUCAAAUUACUUUGUUUUUUUUUUUUUAAUUUUUCUUAAAUCUUCAGAAUUUUCAUUAUAAUUUCAGUUUUUCCUAUGCCACAAACUUACAGCUCAAAAGGCACCACGCCAUGAGGAAGACCGGUGUAUUUGAAUUUAAUAAUGUAGUAGGUCUUGUAAUGAGCCACACAACCCCUUGUGUAAAAUAAAAGUUUAAUUUUCAUACACCAACAAAGGAAUAAUAUAUCCAAUCGUCAAUUAUUAAAAAUCAGUUCAAAUAUGAUUUUUACAUGACUUUCUAUAAUUACACUACCCAUCAUAAAAUAGUGUUACCUUGUUCAGGAACUUUUCUCAUCACACCAUUAAGCCAUGAAUAGCAACGCCAAGUCGUAUCUCAUAUUUGUCGAAUUGUUCGGGUUUAUGAUUGUAGAAUAACUAUUUUGUAUGAUUUGUGCAGGGCGAGGGGCUUGGAAGUUCUACGAAGGGCUUGGUGGAACCUAUUCAACCAGUUGGAAAUGUUGGCACUGCAGGUUUGGGAUGGUCUCGUUGAAACUGACUCAUAUAGUGUAGGGUCUAAAGAGAGCUAUUUAUUGCCCAUAUACUCAAUUUUAUUUAGAAAACGUAUUUUAAAAAUACAAAACCUAAACCCUAAACCAAAUACAAGAAGAAAGUAUUGAAAUGUAGUAUACCAUCUUCAACUGCGAGGACUAUAUUUUCCAUUUAAAGCAGAGCAUCCUCAUGACUAUUAACAGUUAAUGAUCUAAUAUACAAUAGUAAAAAAAUGAAAAAAAUUUGUUUCGUAUAGAAAACUAUCAUGUCAAAUUAGUUUGCGGUAUCCCAGUCUUAUUGUUGUCAUUUUUGUUAUGUGCUGCAUCUAAUCCACCAUCCUCCAAAAUUUCCAGUUGAAGGGCUCUUCUUAGUUAGUCUUUGGAUUUCCCGAUCCUUCUUUUCAAUUUUAUAUUGUAACAUGAGAACCUGCAAUGAAAUCCACAUAGUUUGGAUUCUAAAAUAUCAAUUUGCAUGUAUUCACCAAGGUUACUUGUGACUGUUCUUAGUUAUAAAAUUUAAAUAACAAGUUCGGGUAAUUGUCAAAUUUUUAACGUCUUUAGAGUUCACAGUUCACAAGAAUCACGCUAUCCAACCAAGCUCUUAGGUGCAAUGAAUUUGCAUCAUGAAGCGACUUUUUUUCUCAAAUACUUCUAUUUCUUUAUCCAACACUUUUUUGUUUUUAUUUUCUUAUCUAACACUGUUUUUGACUUUUUUUCUUCUCAAAUAACACUAUUUUCAUUUUUAAAUAUUUAUAAAAUUAUAGUGAAUUUAAAUAUUAUUGAAAUAGAAGAAAAUUGAUCAACAUUGGUGGACUCAUACAUUAUGAUCUUGUUGCACGUUUGAUUUCUUUAUAUUGAACAUACCCCUCCAGCUUCUUAAGUAUUUUCUUCAUGAGGUGUCAUAAGUACCACCAGUGACUUGCAUUAGGAAAUACAAUUUCAAUUGCAUUUUUCAUUGUCUUGUAUUGGUCAGUUACAAUGUUUUAAAGUGACCUAUUUGACAUACGUCACAGUCAAGUUUGAAAAAGUCAAACAACCAUUUGUGUCUUCUAAAGAUAGUAGUCCACAACCCAACAAAAUAGAUUGUCCAUGAUGAUUAACACAAUUAAAUGGUACAAAUGGCAUGUCAUGUUUAUUAAUCAAAUAUGUAGUAUCAAAACAUAGAACAUCCCCAAAGCUUUCCCACGCUACCCGGCUUCGUGCAUCUGCCCAAAAGAUAUGAUGAAUGUAGUUAUUAAUGUCCAAAUAAAUGUCAAAGAAAAAUUGGUGAUUAAACUCCCUCAUACGAGAGAAAUGAAUUAAGAGUGUUUUCUCGUCUCUUUCCUUUUCCAAAGAUCUCCUUUGUUUCCCGACAAAGUUUCACACAUAUUGUUCAACAAAUUCUAGAUUAUCAUAACCACCAGAUGAAAAAACAAACGACCGAAAACUCUUGUUAAUUCGUACCCAACAUCGCCAUUGAUAUCAAAAGCCCUCUUUGUGUUUAAUUUGAUUCUUCUAUUACCCUUAAACAAUCGUGACUUUCUUGGGUUAAGGUCAUGUGAGUGUUCUAGGUGCACAUGCAUAAUAUAUCACUUUUCAUUUUUUAUCCCAAUAGUUAUUCGAGUUGGACACAUUCUUUUGAGUUGGUUGGGUAUUAACUUCGUUCAGAAUAAGCGAGACAUAUUUUUCGGCUCUGGCACACACCAAUAUGAAGUACCUUAGCUCUUUGUCCGAUCCUUUCUUAGAACUUUGUGUUCUAAUGGUAAAAUCCUUUGAAAUGACAUCUUGUCGAUAAAUUUUUUUAACAUUGUCAAAAUACAUACCCACUGUAGCAACCAAAUCAUCAUCAUUUUUAAUUCUUUUAUUAUUAAAUACAUUAAAACUCUCAUAUUCUUCAAACAACGGAAUCUCAUCAAAGCAAAUAUUUUCCAUUUCGUUCAUAGUCUGCAUUAUAAAAAAGAUCAUUGUAUGUAAAUAUUAAUAUACAUUAUUUACUAAAUAAAAGAAGACGACCCAUAUUGUGUGGUAUUCAAAGUAAAAAAAAACAUGUUUUGGACAGUAAAAAAAAAUUGUAUGCCACACUGCCUUGAAAAAUAUGAAGUAUUAGUGAAAUAUGAGAAUCCUAAUAAAUGAAAGAAAAACUAUGACAAACCAUGACUUCACGUGGUCGGUAUUGAAUGUGCAGGUGAAAAAUUAGUCAAAACCAUUCAAGGCAGCCAUUAGAGAUGAGUUUUACAUUCAAUGCAACGUUGGAGAUGACUUUCUUGUAGGUAUGUAAUAAGAAAAACUCUUAAUGGAAAAAUCAUUCUAGCUACAAACCAUUUUGCCUUGUCUUUGUCUUUUCAAAUCAUGGUACUUCAAAGUAAUUAAUGUAAGUUAAUGCUCUCACCUACCAACCUUGUGACAUGUUCCACUUCAAAAUGUAAAUAGAAAUGUGCAUCAUAUGCCUCACUAGAAAAAUUUGAUUAAUUUUUAAUAAAAUAAUAAUAAUUUAAUACUAAUUCACACGCUUUUCCUUUGAUGGUUAAUGAAAUAAUGAUAAUUUAAUAUCAAUUCAUUUACUUCAUUGAAAAAGGUUAAUUUUUUAUUUUUAAUAAAAUAAUAAUUUAAUAUCAAUUCAUACACUUAACUGAAAGAGGUCAUUAAUUCUUAAUAAAGUAGUAAUAAUUUAAUACCAAUUCAUGACAAUAUAAGCUUAUCACCAUUCGUCAAUCUCAUAUCUUAUAAGCACUUGGUCAUUUUCCUAUCUUCUAAGUUGAACUUCACACACCAUUCAUUUUUCGACAAAAUGAUUUGUAAUGGAUGAAUGAGAGGACCUUGAUACCAGUGAUAUUGCAUCAUUCGUGCGAUGGUAUAGUUCCAACACAAAUGUAAUUCUUGGACCGGUAUGUAAUGUGCAAGUUGUUAUUCUAAAUUGGAAAUCCAAAUACCUCAUUAAAACAAGAAUUUAUAAAUUGCAUAGGUGAAGAAAAUCUAAGUUCAUUUGAAUCUUUACCCAUUUGAAAAGAUGGAUUUUCUAAAAGGAUGUGAAAUUUCAAAAUAUCGAAUGAACAUGUUGUUUGACACUUAAGUGAUUUUUAAAAUGAUUUGGAAAAAACUUAACUUUGUUUUUAAAUGAUUUCAAUUGUUUUUGGUUUAACUGCGUUUGACCAAUUAAUUUAGAAUUUAGGUCAUACAUUGAAUUUUGUAUUUUUGAACUUUUAAGUUUUGAUUUACAAGGUGUAUUCUAUUCUUCUUAUUCCUCAAACAUUAUAUUUAUGUAUUGAAGUGAUGUAUUCUAUUCCUCUUCUUUCUCAAACAUUGUAUUUCUAUAUUGAAGUGUAUGUAUUCUAUUCCUCUUCUUCUUUAAACAUUGUAAUUUUGUAUUGAAGUGUAAGUUUCUAGAAACUGUCUUGAGGAGUUUAUCAUUUUUGAUGUGUGUUUUGUAAUUUAGAUUUGAUUACAUUGGUAUUUUCAUUGGUUUCAUUGAUUAGAUAAGAACUCAAUAUAGUCUUUGAUAUCAUAGAAUAAGCUUGUUUUUUUCCAAAAGAAAAAUAUCUUUAAUAUUAUACUUUAUUAAUGUUCUUUUAAAUAAAUAAAAAAAUAAGUCUGUUUUUUCUCAAAAAAAAAAUAUCUUUAAUAUUAUACUUUAUUAUUUUUCUAAAAUAAAACCAAAAAAAAACAUUUAUGAGUCUAACAAGUGUUACAACAAGGUAUCCCAAAACCAAUUAAAGGCGGUGCAUAAAAUUGACUUCAAAUAUGUGAAUUUUAAGACUUCUACAAUGCAUAUUUCUAUGCUAAUUUGCGUCUGCAUACCAAGGGGGAAGCAAAAAUGGAAAAUUAAGUAUUUUCUUCCUCCAUAGUGACCACUUUCCUGCAAAAAAUUAUUCCGACACUUUCCUUGUUAUCUACAAAAGUUAUUCCGGCACUUCAAUACAUAAAAAAGUAAAAUCUUAGUAUUUAAUAUUCAGUACAAUAUAUAAUAAUAAUAUAUUAAUUUAUUUUAAAAACUCGUAAUUAUUUAUAUGAUUAUGAUUAUUAUGGAUUCACUAUUAUUAUUAUUCACUAUUAAUUCACUAUUUUGGACCUGUUUAUCCUCGGUUGAAUAUAAUGAGUUCACUCAUAUCAGUCCACACCAAAUGAAUUCUGAGACCACCAGUGUUCAGGAUAGUUAGGGGGUCUAAAUACCCACUCGGUGUCAACCGAGUACAAAGGAUAAAACUUAACAAUAUUUCAGUAAAAUUCCAAAAACAGAUGACAAGCCUCAGUUAGCCAGAAAUUGUCAUCAAAUAUCAGACGGUAAUUCCAAUUAAACUAAAUCAUCAUCGGCUUCAUCACACUAAAAACGAAUGACAUAAUGUUCAAACAAACAAUAAAAAUGUAAUCGCACAAAACGGCUCCGCAGAUCAUAAGUAUGAGAUCCACAGAUUCCUAUCAAGAUGCGAAACAAAGGAAAUUCCCUUUUGCUUUUGGUCCAAUCAUAGCAUCACUGGUCACUGCCAAAUUGAAGCUACCAGAGACGUGGCAUCGGACCUAACCCUAGAAAACCAAUAAUAAUUAAUAAAUAAUAAGAAAACCCUCAGAGACCCGUUCCAAAUCACACACACAGAACCACAAAGAACAAGUCCUUUGAUCAGCGCUGCGUUUAGAGUGUCAUACGGCACUUCCUAUCAAUGAAGGGAGAUCCUCCUCACAGGGUAUUUUCGCAUCUCCAUUCUCUAUCAAGCCAACAUUCAUAAAAUUAAGCACAAAAUAACAACCAUUGUGAACAGAAUCAGAAGCUACCGAAUACAUGAACAUGAAGCAAUAACAGAGAGUGUGCCACUCCGCUGUGAGGCCAACCCUAAACAACCGAUUCACUGAGAAGAAACUUUGGAUGUCAUAUUUAUAGACAUGCUUACUGUACUGUUAGGGUUAGCGCCGCCCAUGUCAA